GAUGAACGCUAGCGGCAGGCUUAACACAUGCAAGUCGAGGGGCAGCACGGGUAGCAAUACCUGGUGGCGACCGGCAAACGGGUGCGGAACACGUACGCAAUCUACCUUUAUCAGGGGAAUAGCCCAGUGAAAACUGGAUUAAUACUCCAUAAGACAUCAGAGUGGCAUCACUCAGAUAUUAAAACUCCGGUGGAUAGAGAUGAGCGUGCGUCCCAUUAGCUAGUUGGCAGGGUAAUGGCCUACCAAGGCGACGAUGGGUAGCUGGUGUGAGAGCACGACCAGCCACA
rnacentral:rRNA from 1 species